rnacentral:lncRNA from 1 species
CGCCUGCGCGCGCCUCCGCCGUGGAAGCACGCGCUCGGAUGCCGGAGGCGCCCAUUGUCCCGCCGGGGACCGCGCUCGAGUGGACAAUAGCGCAUCACGCCAAGAUUUCUAUCAUCCGCUAUUCCUGAGUGCUGCCAUUUGUGAUUUGAGAGCUCUAAGAUGGUCCUCCAAGUAGCUUCAGUCAAGUAUCCACACUGCUGAGGCGAGAACUCUAUGCAUAUUUGGAAGUACCUGUUCCGGUAUCACAAAUGCAAUUACUGCACAAAGGAAGAAAAAGAAAAAAAUAAAUAAAGGUGAAAGACAGACUUUUUCAGUAAAACAAAUACAAAAAAUUUGUGACCAGCAAAACUGCAGGAACGUUCAAGAAAGCUCUUCCGGCAGAAGGAAAAUCAUAACAGACGAAAAUUUUAAUCCACACAAAGGAAUAAAGAACACCAGAAAUGGUAAAUAGGUGCAUUUCAGUGCAAUUUAGACAAACUACAAAGAAAACAAAUCAGGCUUCUUCAUGGAAUUAUCUGAAAGUCAAAAAUACUUAAAGUUUAAAAUAGAUGAUUGAGGAAC